GUGUUUUGUCCGUUCUCCUUGUGACCGCUCACGAACUCACAUGAUGAUCAGUUUGUUGCCCUGGUCUCUCCCCGCCUUCCCCUCCGUGUCCGUUGAAUCAUAACAUCUCUCCUUCCCCUAUCCACUCCUGAUUUCCCAUCUUUUC
rnacentral:ribozyme from 1 species